CUUGUACUCCCUCCGUCCGAAAAUACUUGUCAUUGAAAUGGAUGUAUCUACAUGUAUUUUAGUUCUAGACACAUCCAUUUUGAUGACAAGUAAUUCCGGACGGAGGGAGUACUUG
rfam:Triticum aestivum genome assembly, contig: Triticum_aestivum_CS42_TGACv1_scaffold_279912_3DS